GGAAGGAUAGAUUAGGGCUCACUCUUAAAAACUUAUAUAAUUCUCUUCUGGGAACUUCUCUGCUGCAGCUUGAAGCCUGGAAGCCAGCUGGGACAAAAAAUGCCUUCCCAGAAAGCAUCCCCGAGAGAGAUCACAUAUAAUAAUUGGCCUGGAGUCCCCCGUUCCUUACAUCCUGUGCUCCUGUAUCAGCCAGAGAUGGUCAGCGCUUGGCUUAAUCAUAAAAAAUCAACACACAGAGAUGAUGGCACUGCAGUAGAGAAUCAGUUCAACUGACAUGAAGCUGGCCUAUGCAGGAGAACUGGAGUUAUCACUCAAAUCAGUCUCCCUGGAGCCCUGGAGGUUAGAGUUUUUAUGGACAAUUUGGUGGGAAGGGGGUGAAAGAAUGGGUUGAUUGGUUGGGGAUGAAAUCAGAAGUGUGUGGAAAACUGUCCCCAUGCCCUGAGUCUGCCUCCUGAUGGGACCACAGGAGUCAUGAGUUAUAAGUCUGGGUGGGUUCAGUCUUAAGGAUAUUUCAUAAAACAACCUUAGGUUCUACAAGGGUGAUGCUAUCUAUAGGAGCAAUUGGAAAAAUCACUGAUAUGGUUUGUAUUUGUGUCCCUGCCCCAGUCUCAUGUUGAAAUGUAAUCCUCAGUGCUGGAGGUGGGGGCCUGAUGGGAAGUGAUUGGAUAGUGGGGGUAGGUUCUCAUGAAGGGUUUAGCACCAUCCCCCUUGGUACUAUUGUCAUGGUAGUGAGUUAGUUCUUGCAAGAUCUAGUCAUUUAAAAGUGUGCAGUACCUCUCCCCUUUCUCUUCCUCUUGCUCUGGCCAUGUGAAGUGCCUGCUCCUCCUUUGCCUUCUGCCAUGAUUAUAAGCUUCCUGAGGUCUCCCCAGAAGCAGAAGCUGCUAUGCUUCCUGUACAGUCUGAGGAACCAUAAGCCAAUUAAACCUUUUUUCUUUAUAAAUUACCCAGUCUCAGGCAUUUCUUUAUAGCAGUGUGAGAACAUACUAAUACAGUCACAAAUCUUGUGACCUCUACCAUGUGAUCUCUGAGUAGUAAGAGAUUAUAGAAAGUAGGCCUAUCUUAUGACCUCUGGUCUAUGACUCCUGAGUAGUAAGGGAUUAUAGAAAUUAUGUUUGUCUUAUCAUAAUUCAGCCCCCUCUCAUAAUCCUAACCUUGUGGCCUUUCAUUAGUUUUAUGAAGGUGGUUUAGUUUUGGGAAGGGCUAUUAAUAUCUUUGCUUUAAAGUAAAAGUAUAAACUAAAUUCCUCCCAAAGUUAGCUUGGUCUAUGCCCAGGAAUUACCAAGGACAGCAUAGAGAUCAGAGCAAGAUGGAGUCAACUAUGUUAGAUUUCUCUUACUCUCAUAAUUUCACAAAUGCAGUUUUGAUAACGAUAUAAAUAACAAUAAUUAGUGUAAAAGGAAUUCCAAUUAAAGACAUGAAAUCAAGAGGCCUUGGUGAAGUGGCUUAUUGGUAGUUUGAAUUGGAAGCAGGAACUGCAAAGAUACAUAAAGUCGUUUAAAUUUUCUUGCACCUAUAGGUUUGGGAGACUAAACUGAACUUAGAGUACAAAAUCUUCAUUCUGUAGUUCAAGAAAUUGAGGCCCAAAGAGGGAAAUGCCUUCUCUAUUUCUCAUUCAGCACUCCACAACUAAGCGAGUAAGGUCCAAUAUAAAUGCAGUAUCUCUUUAUCAUCACUAGAAAGUAAACUCUAUGAAGGCAAGGUUUUUGUCUUGUUCAUUCAUUAAAUUUUCCCCAAUUACCUAGAACAAAGUCUGUUGCAUGUUAGGCAGGAACUCUGUUUGUUGGAUGACUCUCAAAGUACAGCAUUGUGGUUAUGAUCUUGAGUUUUGAGUUAAUGGAUGUAAAUCAAAAUACUACUACCUACUAGAUGUGUUACUUUGGACAAGUUAUUGAACUUGUAUAAGCCUUAAAUAAGACAUCAAACAAGGUAAUUCAUAUAAAUCAACUUGACCAGCCCAGUACAUAGUAAACACUUAAUAAAUACUGAAUAUUUACAAUAGUAGUAGCCAUAGUUUACUCUAUUCUUGCUGAUUACAUUAUAAAUUCUAAGGUAUUUUAUUUCACGCAACUUUUUUCCCAAGUUCGAUGUUUUAACGUUUUGUUUUUAUAAAAGAAAUGCUAGGGUAUUCCCAUACCCAGUCAUUCUUAAAAUGCUUUAUUUUGAUUUUCUUCCUGAAAAUACAUUAAAGAGAUGUGUCAAAAAUUAACAUUCAUAUUACAAUCUCAUUUCUCCUGCUGAGCAGUCUAUCAAUUACUGUUGUUGUUUUUUUAAAAUCAUGAUUGCUCCCCGAUUGCUCAUACAUUUAAACAAUCAAUGCUGCUAUUACAUCCUCACUUGAGAGUAUCAAGAUAAAAACUAUCCGGUGGGAAAGGCAAUUUCUGAGUAAUAUUUCCAGUUGUAUAAUGGAUGUUUGGAAAUUUAAAAUAGUGUCUCCCAGUGUUUAUGUUUAUUAACUGCAAGAAAAAGAAGAAAACUCUAGGGCCCUAUUCACCUAGAAAUCACUACAGCACUAAUAAGCAAAGGAAAACAAUUUCAGCCGAAGAUUGCCAGAAACUACAUAUGGAGUGAAUGAGAAAAAGGCCUCGUGGAAUAAUUAACAAAACCAGACCCUUGCAAUGCACUGUUCUCCAUUCAGCAGCAUUGGCAUCACCUGGGAUUUUGUUGAAAAUGUAGGUUCUCCAGCUCCACCCCAGACCUACUCAAUCAAAGCAUACAUUUUAACAAGAUUCUCUCGCUGAUUGAAGUUUGAGACACACUGGUUUAAUUUAAAAGGCACAGAGAGGCCGGGUGCAGUGGCUCAUGCCUGUAAUCCCAGCACUUUGGGAGGCCAAGGCAGGCAGAUCACCUGAGGUCAGGAGUUCGAGACCAGCCUGGCCAACGUGGUGAAACCCUGUCUCUACUAAAAAUACAAAAGGUAGUCAGGCGUGGUGGGGUGUGCUUGUCAUCCCAGUUACUUAGGAGGUUGAGGCAGAAGAAUUGCUUGAAUCCGGGAGGCGGAGGUUGCAGUGAGCCGAGAUCAUGCCAUUGCACUCCAGCCAGGGCGACAAAAGUGAAACUCUGUCUCAAAAAACAAAAACAAAAACAAGCCAAAAAAUGAAAAAAGGCAAAAGGCACAGAGAAUUGAAAUGCUUUCUUGUUUUAAAGCAUUUUUUUUACAACAUAUUCUUAUUAAAACCAAUUUAAGUCAAGGGAAUAGACAAAAGUAAAAAAAAAAAAUCUUCUUAAUCUCAUCAUCUAGCCAAAACUGCAUCAUCUAUGAAUGCUGAUAUUUAAUAUACAGCAAGCCACGUUAUACAUGCUGUUUUGUAACAUGCUUUCUUCCUUCUAAACAAUAAUACAUCAUGUUCAUCUAUCUAGGACAAUACACAGAGCUCUAUAUCAUCAUUUUGAAUGGCUGAGUAGGACAUGUUUUUUAUGUACUCUUGUUUAUCAAAUGUCCUAUUGAUUGAAAUUUAGGUUGUUUUCAAUUUUAUGCUAUUAUAACCUCUAAGUGAAAUGUCCUUGUGAUACAUCUCCUUGUUCUUUUGUAUAUAUCUCCUAAAUCCAAGAAUAUUCAUCAUUUGUCACAAGUUGCAAAAUGUUUUAGUAGGAAAAGUAGUGGACUGGGAAUCAAGACACCUAGAUUCAAAUCCUAGGUUUGGUCUCUAUUAACUUCUUCAUUGCCAUCUCAGUUUGCAUAUUCAUAAGAGAGAAGUUUGAAAAUUAUCUUUAAGGCACUCCACAGUUUCAGACUUUCAAUACAACUGAUGUCAAAUCUAUCAUAUUUGACAUUAUAGUGCAUUUUACAGGGAAUUUCUGCCUUUGCUUUUCAGAAAUUAAUAAAUUCUGUUAACUGUAUCUAGUUGAGACUAAUAUCAAAUUUUAUUUGCAUAUCAUGAUUUCACAUUAACUUGAUAGUAGGAAAAGAUGGCCUAGGGAGAUCCUGGGUGCCAGAACGAACUUAAUUACAUAUGUACUGCAUUUGAGAAGUUAUGGUACAUUGCUUUUAAAUCAGGCUUUGCUACCAAAAUACUUAGAACAAGUAUUGGUUGGUGUCAGAUAACCAGGGUUUGAGGCCCAACUCUGUCAUUUACUAACUACAUGAAUUUGGGUAGAUUAUGAAAAAUUCUUUUAGCCUUACUUUCUUCAUCUAAAAAAUGAUCUACAGAGAUUAUAGGUCCUUUGUGUGUGUUAUAUGAAGAUAAUGCAUAUAAAAUCCUUAGUGCAGACUGGGUGUGGUGGCUUAUGCCUAUAAUCUUAGCAUUUGGAAGGCCAAGGAGGGUGGAUCAGCUGAG
rnacentral:lncRNA from 10 species